AUGGAAUAUACGUAGCUGUUGCAGGAAGUGACUUUGUCAUUACUAGAGUUGCAUUUCGAGACAACUCUUCAAAGUAUUAUAUAAAUGACCGUGAAAGUAAUUUUACAGAGGUCACUAAGAAAUUGAAAGGAAAAGGAGUGGACUUGGAGAACAAUCAGUUUUUUAUUCUUCAGGGUGAAGUCGAGCAAAUUUCUCUAAUGAAGCUAAAGAUUUGUAUUUUCAGCAUUAUUGUAAUUGUAAUUGUAAUUAAUUGAAUGAAGGAUUGUAAUUGAUUGUAAUUGUAAUUGAUUGAAUGAAGGAUUGUAAUUGAA